rnacentral:rRNA from 1 species
AACGCUAGCUACAGGCUUAACACAUGCAAGUCGAGGGGAAACGACAUCGAAAGCUUGCUUUUGAUGGGCGUCGACCGGCGCACGGGAGAGUAACGCGUAUCCAACCUGCCCACCACUUGGGGAUAACCUUGCGAAAGUAAGACUAAUACCCAAUGAUAUCUCUAGAAGACAUCUGAAAGAGAUUAAAGAUUUAUCGGUGAUGGAUGGGGAUGCGUCUGAUUAGCUUGUUGGCGGGGUAACGGCCCACCAAGGCAACGAUCAGUAGGGGUUCUGAGAGGAAGGUCCCCCACAUUGGAACUGAGACACGGUCCAAACUCCUACGGGAGGCAGCAGUGAGGAAUAUUGGUCAAUGGGCGAGAGCCUGAACCAGCCAAGUAGCGUGUAGGAAGACGGCCCUAUGGGUUGUAAACUGCUUUUAUAAGGGAAUAAAGUGAGUCUCGUGAGACUUUUUGCAUGUACCUUAUGAAUAAGGACCGGCUAAUUCCGUGCCAGCAGCCGCGGUAAUACGGAAGGUCCGGGCGUUAUCCGGAUUUAUUGGGUUUAAAGGGAGCGUAGGCCGGAGAUUAAGCGUGUUGUGAAAUGUAGACGCUCAACGUCUGCACUGCAGCGCGAACUGGUUUCCUUGAGUACGCACAAAGUGGGCGGAAUUCGUGGUGUAGCGGUGAAAUGCUUAGAUAUCACGAAGAACUCCGAUUG